rnacentral:rRNA from 1 species
GAGUUUGAUCCUGGCUCAGGAUGAACGCUAGCGGCAGGCUUAACACAUGCAAGUCGAGGGGUAACAGGGUGCUUGCACCGCUGACGACCGGCGCACGGGUGCGUAACGCGUAUACAAUCUACCUUAUAGAGGGGAAUAGCCCAGAGAAAUUUGGAUUAAUGCCCCAUAGUAUUAUUGAAUAGCAUUAUUUAAUAAUUAAACAUUUAUGGCUAUAAGAUGAGUAUGCGUUCUAUUAGCUAGAUGGUAAGGUAACGGCUUACCAUGGCUACGAUAGAUAGGGGUCCUGAGAGGGAGAUCCCCCACACUGGUACUGAGACACGGACCAGACUCCUACGGGAGGCAGCAGUGAGGAAUAUUGGACAAUGGGCGGGAGCCUGAUCCAGCCAUGCCGCGUGCAGGAAGACGGCCCUAUGGGUUGUAAACUGCUUUUACAGAGGAAGAAACACCCCGACGUGUCGGGACUUGACGGUACUCUGCGAAUAAGGAUCGGCUAACUCCGUGCCAGCAGCCGCGGUAAUACGGAGGAUCCAAGCGUUAUCCGGAAUCAUUGGGUUUAAAGGGUCCGUAGGCGGGACAAUCAGUCAGCGGUGAAAGUCUGUGGCUCAACCAUAGAAUUG